rnacentral:rRNA from 1 species
UACGUAGGGUGCAAGCGUUAAUCGGAAUUACUGGGCGUAAAGCGUGCGCAGGCGGUUUUGUAAGUCAGAUGUGAAAUCCCCGGGCUUAACCUGGGAACUGCGUUUGAAACUACAAGGCUAGAGUGUGGCAGAGGGGGGUAGAAUUCCACGUGUAGCAGUGAAAUGCGUAGAGAUGUGGAGGAAUACCGAUGGCGAAGGCAGCCCCCUGGGCCAAUACUGACGCUCAUGCACGAAAGCGUGGGGAGCAAACAGG